UGAAUGUUGACCUCGGAUCAGGUAGGAAUACCCGCUGAACUUAAGCAUAUCAAUAAGCGGAGGAA
rnacentral:rRNA from 1 species